AAUAUGAGCUUACUCUACAGUGAAUGAGUGCAUCACUGCACGUGCUCGAAGGAAGCAAAAGCACUUUUAUUCCUGAACCAAGUCUGUCGUUUUCACUUCACUGUUUAUUCAGAGUUCUUAACUCACUGAUCAUAAAAGCAAGCCAAGAAACAUUUAAUACUGGAAGCUAGGGGCAGGGCAAUCCAUGCAUCAUGCCUUCCCUUAUCCCUCCCUCACACCAGGUGAAGAGAAAGGGAGUAAGGCUCCAAAGCAAUUUGCUCCCAGCCCUUAUUAUUACUACUCAAGACUCCCUUCCUUUCCCCACUCCCCAUUUCCUGAGGAGUAACAUGGGAAUGUAAGACCCCAGAGAAUCUCAUAUGAUUUUUAAUUAUUAGAAUAGAGAAAGUAGGAGGGGGAAAACAGUAGUAGGAGUCACCUGCCACAAAUCUCUCCAUUUGUUUAGUCUUAAAUGUAUACAGUGUUGCUGCAUACCAAAGGGGAUUUACCUGAAGCAAAAUUCACUAGAGGCUGGAUAAGUGUUGUAUCACUAGGAACAGAAUUAGGCGUUUUAAGGAAACAAAUACAUUAUUCAAGGUCAGGAUAACAUCAACUGUAAAAGCAAGAACGUGAGAAAUACCAGGCCAGAGAAUGAAGCAUGCAACAAGAUAGCUGAAGGAACACACCCAUACUCAGCAGCUGGCAGUAGUGUGAUAACAUGCAAGACAGCCCAGGUUUGGGGAUGGACACAAAAAAAAAAAAACCACAACCUCACGCAUAUUAAUAACCAAAGAAUUAUACUAACACAAAAUGGAGCAGGUGGAAAAACUUCAUUGUUUUCAGAGGUAUUUAUUACAGUCUGACUCCAAUUGAAAGCUAUGAAGCAAUUCCUAUCCCACUGCUGGUUUCAUUUAAGAAAACAAAGAGACUGGAAGAACCACCCACAGUAGGAAGAGAUCAAGUUUGAGACCAUCUAAGCAUCCUGACGUUGCAGAAGUCCACAAGACCUGGACUCACACGGAGAGGCACCACCUUUAUUCUCUGUGAAUGGUACCUUACAGCUCAGACACUGCUAACUUUUCUACCCCUCUGCAAAUCAGAAGAGAAGGUAGUGCAAAAGCAGGCCUGUUAUUCAUAAUCCUGGUGUUAUGGAGCGAGAAUGUGUCACCCACCACAGGGAUUAAUACAUUAAAAAGACUAGAUAUACAGCAAAACUUGUAUUCUUCU